GUGGCUGUGGCAGAACGGCUAUGCAGCGGCUUGUGGUGCCGCCUCAUGCGGGUUCAAAUCCCGUCAGUCACC
rnacentral:tRNA from 1 species